CCCACUGACACUUUUACACUUCUUAGAUAUUGUGAGUAGACUUUGUAUUUACCUCUAAUACUUUAAGUUAUAAUAGUGACAACCAUACCUGCAUUGGAAUCCAGCAGUCACAAUAUGCAUCUGAGAAACACAUUAUUUUUCAUUUACAUGGCAUAGUUACAGAAUCAAAGGAUAUCAACAUGCCAAAUAGAGCCAACAUAUUUUUAUAGAUACGUAGCUUAUACAACUCCUUCCAGCGUGAAGAUAUGUGCAGAAGUCCCUUCCAUGUGAAGAUACAGCAGCCUAUCUGCGUCUUCUUCCAAGUUCCAAGCUCUUUUCUGUCGGUCACUCGUCCAUUCAUGUUGUUGGCACAGUCUUUGUUUUUAACUCAACCUUUAGCCAGAUGUGACUUCACCAGCUAUUCCACCCAGGGCUCUGCCCAGAGCCUGGGGGUGUGAGAGCGACUAUGCUCAUCACAUCCACCCACGGAAUUUGGAUCAAGCUAUGACUGUGGUACUACAGCAGCUGCAGACCCUCUUCCAACUGCCCCUUCUGCUAACUUGGUCCCCAUGGAGAAAAACCUUGGUGGGAGGACACAAACAUCUGUAAUCGAGGUUGACAUCUGAACACAGUCACUAAAAUAUUUUGGGUUUCUUGGUAUCAGUUCUGGGAAGAAGCAGUUCACAGUGAAAGCAAAGUAUUUUUUUCUCCCCCGGAAACAUCAAGCAUGCUUUAAUCCAAGUACUAUAUUCUUGUGAACAGAAUCAAAGAAUUUAAGAAAGUACUCAGAGACACAGAGUUUCCACAUUCCAUUUUAAUUAAAGGCUAUAAAUACUCAUAAAGAGAGGCUGGCACACAGCUCUAGGGAUCAAGCUGAGUAAUCCUCAUCUGGAGCUUUCUUGUAUUUAUAUGAUCAUGUUAAAUCUUGAUAAGACAGUGACUUAUCUAAGGCUGAAACUUGCAAAAUCUCUAUUACAUAACAAAGCACAUUCUGCAAUGCUUUUUAAUACCAUAACAGAUCAGUUAGGCUCAUCUCCAGAGGGGUCCAAUACCAACUGGAAGCCCACCUUGGCUCCCAAAGGACAGUGUUCUCCAGUGACUUCAAACAGGUGUGAAAUCCUGCCUGGCCCCAGCUAUAGUAAGGACAAAACAGUUGUCAGGCAAAAUCGAACAAGCGGUUCCUAGUCUGGUUGCUGGAUCUCAGUCAGUGAUCACCCAUGGUGAGCGAGGAGCAAAUGCAACAGGACCAAUCAAAAGAAAAAAAAGAAAGAAAAAGGCGGACUGGUCCCAUAGUACUACUUGCUUGCACAAAUCCCUCCAUAUGCCACCAAGGAGUGUGAUGUGUGGCAGAUCUGUAUCGCACAGACACAGGAAUGCCUGCAUGAACGGAAAGACUGAAUCCAGUGAGCAGAGUUUCAGCACGUGAGCCUUUAUGUGGGAGCUGAAAAUAUAAAGGGAGGGAGAGGAGCUAGUGAUCAUAAAACUCCCUGGCACCAGCUGACACAGCAAGGGCAGAAAGGACACAUGUAAUUUUAAUCUUUCCCCCACGUGAGUGGUUUUUCCUUCCCCUUAAACACAGUGAAGAUGCUUACUCUGACCAUAGACUGUUCAGCAGGGACACUGCCUGACUUAGUAAAAGCAAUUUCUGUUCAUCUGGCAAAGUUGCCAGUCUCCAUUUGCAGGCUCAUACAGUCUGUGCCAGAAAACAAACAGGAGGCAAUGGUGGGAAAAGAAGGGGAGACUCCAGUCCAUACAAAGACUGCCCCUUUCAAUAGCACAUCUUUGUCCAGGUAGGUCAGAUCCUGAGCAUCUCUGCCUUCCUCCCAGCUUUUGCAACUGCUCUUUUAGACCAUUUUGGUUCCAUGCAUCAAGAACCCGUCUGCACAGCAACCACACAGACCCUCUUUCAGCCAGUUUUCUCCAGAGGCUCCUUACUCCCAUUGGGAACGAACUCCACAACUCAACAGCCUUCCCCUGUUGCAGCUUGCUUUAAAGGUCAUUUUUGCAAAGAAGUGUACAAAAUUACCACCAGAUCUAUGUUUUCAUACAUAUAUAAAAAUAUAUCUAAACAUAUAAAAAUACAUAUAUAAAAAAUUGUUAGCCUAAACCAACAUGUGUUUACUGGAUUUGAAGUUAGAGGGGGAGAGAACUCCCAUUGCAUUUUACCUUCACAAUGGUGCUGGAAUGGUUGAAUAAAGUGUGGCCCCGCUGCCCAUAUGCCAUUCAGCUUCUGUCUGUCUUUUUGUUUACACUGGGAAUACAAUAGAACUAUAGUCCUUCCAAUGCAUCAUUUAUAAGUGUAUUCUACCUCUGAAUGUACAGACAGAACUGGCUCUGUGAAUGAGCUCUGUGAAUAUUGCCAAGACACUGUGCUUUGUUCAGCAUUAUUCUUCACAAUAGAUACCACACUUUGGAAGUAAUUUUAAAAAGGGAAUCAAAAUAGUGGUACUUUUAGCCUUUGUUUCUUUUAUACCACACUGCAUUCUCUGUCUCUCACUCAGCUGCUUCUAUUAUACUGACAAAUUAAAUAAACCACUCCAUUGCUAAAGAGGCUUGGGCGGGCUGGGCUUCGGUACACUGCUGCGCUAGGAAGUUGAAAUAAACAUUUAUGCCGGUUUUAUUCUUAACAAAUUUAAGCUAACUUUGGUCAAGCGUCUUUUUUUUUUCUUUUUUAAUAAAAGGAAGGGGGGCAAAAAGAAAGAAGUACUUCAAAUUUUUGAGCCGAUCUGCAGCAUCAAGGGAUCUGGCAUCUGAAGCAAUGGAGUAAUGAGAAGCCAUGUGUCCAGGUUUUCGCACAAAGGGUACGAGACAUCCAUCCCAACCAAAAGCCCAGGAUUUCUGUGGUGGGGACAAUCAGAACAUCAGAACACUUGGGUGAAGCUUUGGGGAACAAAUCGACAGCACAGCUGGACCUAAUGGAACAGAAAAGCAAUUUAACCCACUGGAUCAAUCAAAAGCAGUCCUAGUAAUUAUGAUGGAGAAGCCCAGCAAAAGUGAAUCAUCUUCACUGGAAGAGGAGCUGAAAGGCUCGAAUAGCUUCGUAGCAGUCACUGUCUCAGCAAGUUGUGCCUCAGUAUGGUCUUCUCCAGCACUGGAACGUAUAUAGACCUAAUAGAACAAAAUAUAUACUCUCUAUUUGCAUUUAUAGCUAGGGCAUCAAAUGGACAAUGUGUUAUCACCUCCCCCAGGAUAUAUAAAUAUAUAGUGUAAAAUGUAUAUAAAAUAUGAGCAGCAAAAGUUAGACCUUUUGGAACAUGUGCUUGGAUUCCCAGAAACAAACUUGACUUUUUAAAGCUGUAACAUGUUCUAGUGGGCUCAGGACAGUGAUGACUGAGCAUCUAAAUGCUUCAUUCGUCAAUGAGGACUGAUAGUUUUCCUCAGUCUCUCUGAUAAACCACAAGGCCUGAUGCUAAGCCAUGCUCCAUUUUACAACAUUACUUUCAAGUUUAAUGAUUUCCUCCAAUGACUGGAUCAUGUUGCAGCAAGAUGACUGAUUCCCAUCCCAUACUUUCUACUCACAAGCCAUUUGAAAAACUGAUUUGCACCUUAAUCUUGGAAUGCAUAUUCUGCACUUGAAUGGUUCAAACGUCAGACCAUAUUCAAGAGAGAGGCAGCUCUAAAACCUGAAAAGAAGAAAAUUUUUUUUAAAAAAAUCAGUUGUCAUCUGGUGCUCUAAAAUGAAACCAGAGAAUCAGCACAAAGAGUGUAAAUACUGAAUUCUGUGCAGCAAUGCAAUUAGAUUUCACCUGUUGAUUUUUAUAGCUUGUUACAGGCCUUAUAGCUUCCCUGAUUUCCCUCCAGCAUAGAUCAGGUAUAACUUCACUGCAGUCACAGGAACCAAGCCCACAGAAGACACAAUUUUAGCAAUCUUUGUGUUUCCUAUCUGCAGCACAAGCCUCAUGUUAUCCUUAAACAGUCAAAUUGUAGUCAUCUUUAUUUCCAUUUCCCAUGUUAUUUUAGAGCAAUUUUCCAGCUCUGACUUCCGGAUUUGUGCUAUAAUAUUUUCACCCUGAAAACAUACUUAUGUUAACAUUUGAAGUAUGGGAAUAAAUACAAGUUGAAUGCCUGCAUUUCUGAUGACACUGCAACUAGAGAGGGUGCAGAUCUCUAUUUCAGACCAAUUUUAGGAUAGUCAGGUUGUCACUAGACCUAGUUUCGAGACUUAAUAAACUGCUAUAUUGGAGAUAAACUGUUUAUCUAUAUCAAUAAUAUUUUACUUCUGAGGUUCAGAACUGUUUCGUGGCAGCAUGCUGAAAAAGGGACAGCUGUUUCUGUGUUGGAAAGCAGUAAAAUACAAGUAUACUGGUAAAGAAGACAGUCUCAUUAGAGGUAACACCAUGUCCAUUUUUAGGUGGCAAAAGGAGUUUUUUUUACUAUCUAUCAAGGCUAUCAAUAAAUAUUUUUCCCAGA